CACAAGUGGCUCAGGUAGUGCAGCUCAUCCAGGAUGGCACAUCAAUGAGAGCUGUGGCAAGAAGGUUUGCUGUGUCUGUCAGCGUAGUGUCUAGAGCAUGGAGGCGCUACCAGGAGACAGGCCAGUACAUCAGGAGACAUGGAGGAGGCCGUAGGAGGGCAACAACCCUGCAGCAGGACCGCUACCUCUGCCUUUGUGCAAGAAGGAACAGGAGGAGCACUGCCAGAGCCCUGCAAAAUGGCCACAAAUGUGCAUGUGUCUGCUCAAACGGUCAGAAACAGACUCCAUGAGGGUGGUAUGAGGGCCCG